rnacentral:rRNA from 1 species
AGCGAACGCCGGCGGCAGGCUUAACACAUGCAAGUCGAGCGGGCACUUCGGUGUCAGCGGCAGACGGGUGAGUAACACGUGGGAACGUACCCUUCGGUUCGGAAUAACGCUGGGAAACUAGCGCUAAUACCGGAUACGCCCUUUUGGGGAAAGGUUUACUGCCGAAGGAUCGGCCCGCGUCUGAUUAGCUAGUUGGUGGGGUAAUGGCCUACCAAGGCGACGAUCAGUAGCUGGUCUGAGAGGAUGAUCAGCCACACUGGGACUGAGACACGGCCCAGACUCCUACGGGAGGCAGCAGUGGGGAAUAUUGGACAAUGGGCGCAAGCCUGAUCCAGCCAUGCCGCGUGAGUGAUGAAGGCCUUAGGGUUGUAAAGCUCUUUUGUCCGGGACGAUAAUGACGGUACCGGAAGAAUAAGCCCCGGCUAACUUCGUG